rnacentral:rRNA from 1 species
UACGUAGGGGGCAAGCGUUGUCCGGAUUUAUUGGGCGUAAAGAGCGUGUAGGCGGCUAGGUAGGUCCGUUGUGAAAACUCGAGGCUCAACCUCGAGACGUCGAUGGAAACCAUCUAGCUAGAGUCCGGAAGAGGAGAGUGGAAUUCCUGGUGUAGCGGUGAAAUGCGCAGAUAUCAGGAAGAACACCAGUGGCGAAGGCGGCUCACUGGCCCGAUACUGACGCUGAGACGCGAAAGCGUGGGGAGCGAACAGG